CUUGAACCAAGUUUAUUCACCCAAUGGGUCAGACAGCUGACAGCUGAACAGACAAAGACAUGUUCCCACCAGCACAAGUAUAUAUACCCCACUUUAGGUGUGGUAUAUAUAAGCAGGAAGUUAACUGAUGUGAACUGUUCCUUCUCAAUGUGACCCGGACCUAACCUCGGGCCCCAUUCCUCACUACUUAUCAGUGACAUAAACCAUGUGAUUGCCUUUCCUUUACUCAGUACAUUCCCCUGGCUCAUAUCCAACCUGAAUUGACCUCACGAUAUUCAAACGUCCUACAGAUAUCCAUUAACUUCUGGUGUAGAAACCAGACUGUGGUCCUUCUCCUUUCCAUAGGAUACCUGCUGUCUAACAAGAACAUGUUCUGACAGAAUGUAAACGUUCUGCAUUCCCCUCUCUCUCUCUCUCCGUAGCAUUGAUCAAGGAUAUUUCACACUUCAAGUUCAGAAGUCUGAAGCCAUCAAUCUAAUCAAAGGGGAAGAAGGAAAAGAUGCUGCCCUGCGUCCAUACUGAUACUCUAGCAGGACGUGAGAAGAUAGCUAACGAGAAGUUCUCAUUGAGUCUUUUCUAACAGGGCCAAAUACCAGAAUGUGACAAUCACACAGCUCUGUGUUCUGGCUAGGCUAGGGGCCUCUGGGGAGUCUCUCUCUCUCUCUCUCUCUGGUGCUGCAGACUCCUGGUCCACAUUCCAAAUGGAACCCUAUUUCCUAUACAGAGCACUACUUUGAAACAGGGCCAACAGGGGCUCUGGUCAAAAGUAGGAGCACUACAUAGAGAAUAGUGUGCCAUUUGGGAUGCAAGCCCUGUCCUCUGUUACUCUCUCGCAGUAUGUAGAAGGUCUUAGGAAACCUGUGGACUGUUCCAUUCCAGUCUUUUACACAAGAGAGUUACUUAAUGAUGGGUUUCUCAUCAUCAAACACAAGUGUUCAUCUAGGAGACGAUGUGCAGGUUACAGUAUGUAAUGUAGCAGACGGAGGAUGUGCAGGUUACAGUAUGUAAUGUAGCAGACAUAGGAUGUGCAGGUACAGUAUGUAAUGUAGCAGACAGUUAGAUGAUGUGCAGGUACAGUAUGUAAUGUAGCAGACAGACAAUGUGCAGGUACAGUAUGUAAUGUAGCAGACAGACGAUGUGCAGGUACAGUAUGUAAUGUAGCAGACAGUUAGAGGAUGUGCAGGUACAGUAUGUAAUGUAGCAGACAGUUAGAGGAUGUGCAGGUACAGUAUGUAAUGUAGCAGACAGUUAGAGGAUGUGCAGGCACAGUAUGUAAUGUAGCAGACAGUUAGAGGAUGUGCAGGUACAGUAUGUAAUGUAGCAGACAGACGAUGUGCAGGUACAGUAUGUAAUGUAGCAUACAGACGAUGUGCAGGUUACAGUAUGUAAUGUAGCAGACAGUUAGACGAUGUGCAGGUACAGUAUGUAAUGUAGCAUACAGACGAUGUGCAGGUUACAGUAUGUAAUGUAGCAGACAAUUAGAGGAUGUGCAGGUACAGUAUGUAAUGUAGCAGACAGUUAGACGAUGUGCAGGUUACAGUAUGUAAUGUAGCAGACAGUUAGACGAUGUGCAGGUACAGUAUGUAAUGUAGCAGACAGACGAUGUGAAGGUUACAGUAUGUAAUGUAGCAGACAGACGAUGUGCAGGUACAGUAUGUAAUGUAGCAGACAGUUAGAGGAUGUGCAGGUACAGUAUGUAUUGUAGCAGACAGUUAGAGGAUGUGCAGAAAACAGUAUGUAUGUACAGUAUGUAAUGUAGCAGACAGUAAGAUGAUGUGCAGGUACAGUAUUUAAUGUAGCAGACAGAGGAUGUGCAGGUCCAGUAUGUAAUGUAGCAGACAGUUAGACGAUGUGCAGGUACAGUAUGUAAUGUAGCAGACAGUUAGAGGAUGUGCAGGUACAGUAUGUAAUGUAGCAGACAGAGGAUGUGCAGGUACAGUAUGUAAUGUAGCAGACAGUUAGAGGAUGUGCAGGUUACAGUAUGUAAUGUAGCAGACAGUUAGACGAUGUGCAGGUAAAGUAUGUAAUGUAGCAGACAGUUAGACGAUGUGCAGGUACAGUAUGUAAUGUAGCAGACAGAGGAUGUGCAGGUACAGUAUGUAAUGUAGCAGACAGAGGAUGUGCAGGUACAGUAUGUAAUGUAGCAGACAGUUAGAGGAUGUGCAGGUUACAGUAUGUAAUGUAGCAGACAGAGGAUGUGCAGGUACAGUAUGUAAUGUAGCAGACAGUUAGACGAUGUGCAGGUACAGUAUGUAAUGUAGCAGACAGUUAGAGGAUGUGCAGGUACAGUAUGUAAUGUAGCAGACAGACGAUGUGCAGGUACAGUAUGUAAUGUAGCAGACAGACGAUGUGCAGGCACAGUAUGUAAUGUAGCAGACAGAGGAUGUGCAGGUACAGUAUGUACUGUAGCAGACAGUUAGAGGAUGUGCAGGUUACAGUAUGUAAUGUAGCAGACAGAGGAUGUGCAGGUACAGUAUGUAAUGUAGCAGACAGACGAUGUGCAGGUACAGUAUGUAAUGUAGCAGACAGACGAUGUGCAGGCACAGUAUGUAAUGUAGCAGACAGAGGAUGUGCAGGUACAGUAUGUAAUGUAGCAGACAGACGAUGUGCAGGCACAGUAUGUAAUGUAGCAGACAGAGGAUGUGCAGGUACAGUAUGUACUGUAGCAGACAGUUAGAGGAUGUGCAGGUACAGUAUGUAAUGUAGCAGACAGUUAGAGGAUGUGCAGGUACAGUAUGUAAUGUAGCAGACAGUUCGAGGAUGUGCAGGUACAGUAUGUAAUGUAGCAGACAGACGAUGUGCAGGUUACAGUAUGUAAUGUAGCAGACAGUUCGAGGAUGUGCAGGUACAGUAUGUAAUGUAGCAGACAGAGGAUGUGCAGGUACAGUAUGUAAUGUAGCAGACAGAUGAUGUGCAGGUACAGUAUGUAAUGUAGCAGACAGAUGAUGUGCAGGUACAGUAUGUAAUGUAGCAGACAGUUAGAGGAUGUGCAGGUACAGUAUGUAAUGUAGCAGACUGUUACAACACAGCACUAUCUUUUGGAGUCACUUUCUUAUGAGGAUCCAGCACUCCACUUUUUUUUGGGGAAGAAUAAUCUGUGAGUGAGUAUCACGUUGUCUAUUAUCUAAGUUACAACACAGAAACAUGUGUGUCAUCGUGGGCCAAUAUGUUUCGGUACCUUUCCCCUUUAAACGUGGCUACCCUGCCGUAGUCCAUGAAGUCCGCCUCCCCGGUAUGAUAAACAAAUUCACCAUCGUUGCUUCCAUUUUUCUACAGAGUGGGAAAAUAAUGAAAAUCAUUUUAAAGUGUAUAUUUUAUUUUCUCAUAUUAUUAUUUUAUCACCGCACAGGACUUUAGGUGGCCACGGCAACCCCCAGCAGAUACAACAGGUUGCAGUGACCAUUGUAAAUCCAACGUCUCCUAGGCUACAGUACCCAAAUACUUAUUUACGGAACUUAGUGAGGAACUGAGUAGGU
rnacentral:lncRNA from 1 species